rnacentral:rRNA from 1 species
AAAAAAGGUAAGCUACUAAGAGCGAAUGGUGGAUGCCUUGACUGGUAAAGGCGAUGAAGGACGUACUAGACUGCGAUAAGCUACGGGGAGCUGUCAAGAAGCUUUGAUCCGUAGAUUUCCGAAUGGGGCAACCCAAUGUAUAGAGAUAUACAUUACCUAUAUAGGAGCGAACGAGGGGAAUUGAAACAUCUUAGUACCCUCAGGAAAAGAAAUCAAUAGAGAUUGCGUCAGUAGCGGCGAGCGAAAGCGCAAGAGGGCAAACCCAGUGCUUGCACUGGGGGUUGUAGGACUGCAAUGUGCAAGAGGUGAGUUUAGCAGAACAUUCUGGAAAGUAUAGCCAUAGAGGGUGAUAGUCCCGUAUGCGAAAAACAAACCUUAGCUAGCAGUAUCCUGAGUAGGGCGGGACACGAGAAAUCCUGUCUGAAGCUGGGUCGACCACGAUCCAACCCUAAAUACUAAUACCAGAUCGAUAGUGCACAAGUACCGUGAGGGAAAGGUGAAAAGAACUGAGGUGAUCAGAGUGAAAUAGAACCUGAAACCAUUUGCUUACAAUCAUUCAGAGCCCUAUGUAGCAAUACAGGGUGAUGGACUGCCUUUUGCAUAAUGAGCCUGCGAGUUGUGGUGUCUGGCAAGGUUAAGCAAACGCGAAGCCGUAGCGAAAGCGAGUCUGAAUAGGGCGCUUAGUCAGAUGCUGCAGACCCGAAACGAAGUGAUCUAUCCAUGAGCAAGUUGAAGCUAGUGUAAGAACUAGUGGAGGACUGAACCCAUAGGCGUUGAAAAGCCCCGGGAUGACUUGUGGAUAGGGGUGAAAGGCCAAUCAAACUUCGUGAUAGCUGGUUCUCUCCGAAAUAUAUUUAGGUAUAGCGUUGUGUCGUAAUAUAAGGGGGUAGAGCACUGAAUGGGCUAGGGCAUACACCAAUGUACCAAACCCUAUCAAACUCCGAAUACCUUAUAUGUAAUCACAGCAGUCAGGCGGCGAGUGAUAAAAUCCGUCGUCAAGAGGGAAACAACCCAGACUACCAGCUAAGGUCCCUAAAUCUUACUUAAGUGGAAAACGAUGUGAAGUUACUUAAACAACCAGGAGGUUGGCUUAGAAGCAGCCAUCCUUUAAAGAAAGCGUAAUAGCUCACUGGUCUAGUGAUUUUGCGCGGAAAAUAUAACGGGGCUAAAGUAAGUACCGAAGCUGUAGACUUGCGCACAACUUAGAUUAUUUAAGUUUAGAAUAUGAGAAACUAAGUUAUAUGUUUAGUUAUAUUUUUACUGAUUUUUAUAGAGUAAAGAUAGAAAUAAAACUUAGUAAAAUCAGUAAAAAUAUUCUUAGACUAAAGUUAAGUAGUUUAAGUUGUGUGCAAGUGGUAGGAGAGCGUUCUAUUUGCGUCGAAGGUAUACCGGUAAGGAGUGCUGGAGCGAAUAGAAGUGAGUAUGCAGGCAUGAGUAGCGAUAAUUAAUGUGAGAAUCAUUAACGCCGUAAACCCAAGGUUUCCUACGCGAUGCUCGUCAUCGUAGGGUUAGUCGGGUCCUAAGUCGAGUCCGAAAGGGGUAGACGAUGGCAAAUUGGUUAAUAUUCCAAUACCAACAUUAGUGUGCGAUGGAAGGACGCUUAGGGCUAAGGGGGCUAGCGGAUGGAAGUGCUAGUCUAAGGUCGUAGGAGGUUAUACAGGCAAAUCCGUAUAACAAUACUCCGAGAACUGAAAGGCUUUUUGAAGUCUUCGGAUGGAUAGAAGAACCCCUGAUGCCGUCGAGCCAAGAAAAGUUUCUAAGUUUAGCUAAUGUUGCCCGUACCGUAAACCGACACAGGUGGGUGGGAUGAGUAUUCUAAGGCGCGUGGAAGAACUCUCUUUAAGGAACUCUGCAAAAUAGCACCGUA